UACGUAGGGAGCAAGCGUUGUCCGGAAUCAUUGGGCGUAAAGCGCGCGUAGGCGGCCCGGCAAGUCCGUCGUGAAAGUCAAAGGCUCAACCUUUGAAUGUCGAUGGAUACUGCCGGUCUAGAGUCCGGAAGAGGCGAGUGGAAUUCCUGGUGUAGCGGUGGAAUGCGCAGAUAUCAGGAGGAACACCAAUAGCGAAGGCAGCUCGCUGGGACGGUACUGACGCUAAGGCGCGAAAGCGUGGGGAGCGAACAGG
rnacentral:rRNA from 1 species